rnacentral:piRNA from 1 species
UGAGUGCUGAGAUUGCACGUGCACAUCUGC